rnacentral:ncRNA from 1 species
GACUGAAAAAGGCAAACCGUGCGAAAGCACGGGACGCAAAGUCACGGUCUACCGGGUUGAUGCCCCAUGACGGCGGGACUGCCAGA